AUAAAUCGAUCAAAAUAAAAAAAUCCCUCCCUCAUCUGCAGCCCCACAAUGAAGCUGUUUGUCUGCCUGCUGCUUGUGACGAUCGUUGCCAUGGCAACGCUAAUUAACGACUCUGAGGGAUGGAGGCGCCGGCGCAGGCGCAGAAUGAACGUACCACAGACCAAUACUACUGAGGCCCCUGACUCAAAGUUGAGGGAGGUUGACUCAGAGUUGAGGGAGGUUGUGGAAGACGUGAGUGUGCUUCUGGAGGAACUGGACGAACAAUCCGAACAGCUGAAAACACGGGAAAUGGAAGACAUGGACGAAAUUCUCGAAGAAUAAGAUGAAGAUCUAGACAUUCGGAGGAGACGCUAGCUAGCACUCAGUGACCUAACGGAAAACCUAAACAGCAUUAUCCUUCAAUGACGUCAUAAGUGCCAAAAAUUAGAAUUUCUCCGAUCUGGACAAAAGACAAACUGAAGGGCUUCACAACUGAGACGUUGCCAAAAUGUACUUUUUUACAUGGUUCAGUGCCUAUAGAUUCAUAAAAUAUGUAUAAACCUGGCAUGAUAUAAAAAGGACACCUUUUGUUUUUUGAGAUGUAAAACAUUUUUGUAUUUGGU